GCCAUUAAGGAUAUUGGGGGGCCACUUAAAUUGCGCCUCAUUUCAUAGAAUCAUUAAGACUUAGUAAGGCACGACAAGUCGAGUGAGUAGCCAGUGUUGUGGUCAGCGCGAUGCCCAAGGCCAAGGGGAAGACCAGGAGGCAGAAGUUCGGUUACAAUGUUAACCGGAAGCGUCUUAACCGGAAUGCUAGACGGAAGGCAGUGCCGCGGAUGGACUGCUCCCACAUCCGACAUGCCUAGGACCACGCCAAAUCUGUACGGCAGAACCUGGCCGAGAUGGGGCUGGCUAUGGACCCCAACAAGGCGGUGCCCCUCCGUAAAAGAAAGGUGAAGGCCAUGGAGGUGGACCUAGAGGGAAGGCCUCAGGAGAUUGUGCGGAAGCCCUAUGUGCUGAAUGACUUGGAGGUAGAAGCCAGCCUCCCAGAAAAGAAAGGAAAUACGCUGUCUCGGGACCUCAUAGACCAUGUAUGCUACAUGGUGGAGAACCACGGGGAAGACUAUAAGGCUAUGGCCCGAGAUGAGAGGAAUUACUAUCAAGAUACCCCGAAACAGAUUCGGAAUAAGAUCAAUGUCUAUAAGCGUUUUUACCCAGCGGAGUGGCAAGCCUUUGUUGAAUCUUUGCAGAAGACUAAGAUGGAGAUCGAGUGACUGGUUUACAUCUGCCAGGCUGAGGCCUCCCCCUGGACCUGAGAAGCUGGAGUCAGGAUGUAAGGCAAGGAGGGGUGUGUGGUUACAGAUGAGGCUGGCCAAACCCCAUGGAAUCAAAAGGUUUUUCUCUCUCUCACUCCCCUCUCUGGGGAAGGAACUGACUCCCAGGGGCUCCAAUUUAUAUUCUUCUGGGGCCUCCAAGAAAAGCCAGAAUCUGCUGUUUUCAGAGUGGGUGGUUUGUUUGAAUACAGUCUGUACAUAAUAAAACAAGGCUAUUUUACUUCU